AUGCAAGUCGAGCGAAGUUUUUCUGGUGCUUGCACUAGAAAAACUUAGCGGCGAACGGGUGAGUAACACGUAAAGAACCUGCCUCAUAGACUGGGACAACUAUUGGAAACGAUAGCUAAUACCGGAUAACAGCAUUAACUGCAUGGUUGAUGUUUAAAAGUUGGUUUUGCUAACACUAUGAGAUGGCUUUGCGGUGCAUUAGCUAGUUGGUGGGGUAAAGGCCUACCAAGGCGACGAUGCAUAGCCGACCUGAGAGGGUGAUCGGCCACACUGGGACUGAGACACGGCCCAGACUCCUACGGGAGGCAGCAGUAGGGAAUCUUCCGCAAUGGGCGAAAGCCUGACGGAGCAACGCCGCGUGAGUGAAGAAGGAUUUCGGUUCGUAAAGCUCUGUUGUUAGGGAAGAAUGAUUGUGUAGUAACUAUACACAGUAGAGACGGUACCUAACCAGAAAGCCACGGCUAACUACGUGCCAGCAGCCGCGGUAAUACGUAGGUGGCAAGCGUUGUCCGGAAUUAUUGGGCGUAAAGCGCGCGCAGGUGGUUUAAUAAGUCUGAUGUGAAAGCCCACGGCUCAACCGUGGAGGGUCAUUGGAAACUGUUAAACUUGAGUGCAGGAGAGAAAAGUGGAAUUCCUAGUGUAGCGGUGAAAUGCGUAGAGAUUAGGAGGAACACCAGUGGCGAAGGCGGCUUUUUGGCCUGUAACUGA
rnacentral:rRNA from 1 species